AAACUCAAAGGAAUUGACGGGGCCCGCACAAGCGGUGGAGCAUGUGGUUUAAUUCGAUGCAACGCGAAGAACCUUACCUGGGCUUGACAUCCCGGGAAUCCCUUGGAAACAAGGGAGUGCCUUCGGGGAACCUGGAGACAGGUGCUGCAUGGCUGUCGUCAGCUCGUGUCGUGAGAUGUAGGGUUAAGUCCCGCAACGAGCGCAACCCUUGUCUUUAAUUGCCAUCAUUGAGUUGGGCACUUUAAAGAGACUGCCGGUGUUAAACCGGAGGAAGUGGGGAUGACGUCAAGUCCUCAUGGCCCUUAUGCGUAGGGCUUCACACGUCAUACAAUGGUCGGUACAGAGGGUUGCCAACCCGCGAGGGGGAGCCAAUCCCAUAAAGCCGAUCGUAGUCCGGAUUGCAGUCUGCAACUCGACUGCAUGAAGUCGGAAUCGCUAGUAAUCGCGGAUCAGCAUGUCGCGGUGAAUACGUUCCCGGGUCUU
rnacentral:rRNA from 1 species